rnacentral:lncRNA from 1 species
CCUCUAUUCUCGCACAUUUGACCGCUCCAUCAUACAUGUCCAUUAUGUUCCUUAUAUAUUUUAUAUGAAAUCUUUGCUUCUCAAGCACACGUAUCUAAUAUUUGGACUUGCUUCUUUAUCACAUUUGUGAUAUUGGUUUCAUGUUUUAUGACUUUAUCAUUCUUUCCUGAAGCUUCCUGUGUGAUUCAUAAGUUUAAUACCAUGGAUACACAACUUUGAAUAUCUCUUUUGUUCUUUAUGUUAGAAUUAAGGUACUCUUUGUCUACUUCUUUUUCUUCUUUCUAAUGUUUAAUAUAACUUUGAAUUGCUUAAUUAGCCAUAUAUAGUGACCUCCCAAAGACAUUUCCAAACCUUAUAGAGAUAUCCUCUCAUCCACAAAUUGCCCGACCUCUCAUAUGUUUCAUGGCAUCCUUUAGUUCGAUCUUCUUAGUUCUAUGAGUAUACUUAAGGGCUUUUGUUCGUCUUGAAUGUAUGAAAAUAAACUAAUUCAUUCUGCUGAUGUCUUUUGAGCAUCUCCAUCCAUUGAUUUCAUAAUCUCCUAUGAAAAUUUGUCCGAUGUUGUCUUUUCUACAUUUCACUUGAUUCAAGUCUUUACCCCUCUUCUCUCUCUGUUAUGUUAGUUUACACAUUUUUUCCUCUCUUUCCCGAGUCCCUAACUUUUGGUGGAAAUCGUCUUAGGCUUUAUUCUUAGCUUCUCUCUUCUCUCUCUUGUACUCCAUCUUCAGUUUUUGCUAACUUCCAAUACCACUCUCUUUGCUUUAACAAUUAUCUACACACCUCCAUGAUUUUUCAGAUCAAGGUCUUUGAUCUUUAGACACAUGUAUAACUUCAUGUACUUUCUUAAUGCAAAUGCCCUUUCCUAUAAUAUGUUUGUCGUCUUGUAAAUCUAAUGUUCUCUCCUUUAGUAACAUGUUUUUAAAAGCUACUUGACUUGUGUACUCCUCACAUUUGAUAUUCUUGGAGUCUUGAGACUAUCUUGAGACGUUAAAGGGCCACCGGUGAGUGAAAGUCAUUGUUGGCACACCACUUCAGUUAGACUAAUGACAACAUAAAACUUACACAAUGAUGGAGAACCAUGUGCUUAAAAAAGCGAGUAAGUGUGCUUAGGCAACAUAUAAAAGUUCUGGAUGAAAAUAACUAUGGGAGAUGGCCAAAUGGGAAGAAAUCACUUAAAUAUUUACCUCUCCUGGAAUUUGAACCCUGGUCGCCAAUCGUCCAUUCCAUCUUCAUUGACCGCUAAGUUAGAUACUAAUUAUUAGGCAUGUUCUAUGUCCUCAUUGUUCUCUUUUUUUUGGUCCACUCCAAAUUCAAAUAUAUGUUAGCUACCUCUUCGAUCAAAUUGCUUGGAUGAUAAUCAGAAGUCUUCAAAGGUUUUCUACUGAAAAGUAAACAAGGAGAAACCAAUUGAAUAAACAUUGGGUAGAGUUUUUGGACUAUUUGAGGAAUCUCUCGUCACUCUUAUCUUCAAUUUGUGAGUUUAGUCGUUAAUUUAUGCAUGACAUUACCGAAAGGUCUAAAAUUGUUCUAGAACAUGUCUAGCUUCUCCUUAAAGGUAGUUAGAAUAUCAAACACAGAAAAGGUUCAGAUAUGCCAUCGAACUUUAAGAAAUGGCCUGUUUAUGCCAUCCGUUAAAAGUUAGAUAUACUCAUAUAUGCAACUUUCCACUAUUGGAACCCUACUGGUACCAGAUUUUGCCACAUCGUAUCAUCUAAGCCCUUCAUCAUUUACUAGCCCCCUUUACGUGUGGCAUAUAUGAGCCUUUUCAUUAUGUUCAAUGGUAUAUUUGAGUUGUUUCCCAAGCCACAACUAUGUCCUAACCAUUGUAACAACAUACUCUUAAUUCACACACUCAUAUAUACUUUUCAUACCCAGCUCCACCUCAUUAGUGUACUCUCUUUUAAGCCUGUCACCUUUUUUCCUAAACAAAUUUAAUGCCAUUUUCUCAAGCCACCACCAUGUCCCAAGCAUUGUAACAUUCCAAAUUCCACCACGAGAAUAUAUGCAUACUCUUAGUUCACACACUCAAAUGUACUUUCAUACGCAUAUACACCUCAUUAAUGUACUCUUUUUUUAAGCUCUUGUCUUUUUUUGCUAUAAUUUUUAUGUGGUUUUAAAAUCUUUUUAAGAGCUAAUGUACGAGAAAUUUUUGAAUGAUAUAAAAUUGGAUUAGAUUCGUAGUCCAAUUAAAUAAAAUAAAAGAGUAUUAUAGUUUUCCAUGUAAAAUAAUAGUGUUAUAGUAUAAGGGACAAGCUUGUCCUUAUAAGUUUGUUACAUAAAUAUAUAAGUUUAGUACAUAAAAUUAAAAAAAUGGAGGUGUUAUACAAGAAUAUGAUUCUAAAAGGUUGAUUGACAUGCAUCGAAUGAUAAACAAAAUUUGUUACCCAAUAGAGUUAUGUAAUACAAGGAAUAGGGAAAAGGCUCAAAUAUGACACCGAAUUUAAUGAAAUGGCUCAUAUAUGCUAUUCGACGAUGUUGUCUUUUCUACAUUUCACUUGAUUCAAGUCUUUACCCCUCUUCUCUCUCUGUUAUGUUAGUUUACACAUUUUUUCCUCUCUUUCCCGAGUCCCUAACUUUUGGUGGAAAUCGUCUUAGGCUUUAUUCUUAGCUUCUCUCUUCUCUCUUCGAUAAUGCCACGUGGCAAAAUCUGGUAGGAGAUAUAUGAGCCAAUAGUGUAACGUUAGUGGUAGAAUAUGUUCAACAUUUAAUGGAUGGCAUAAUAGGCCAUUUAUUUAAGUCUAAAGGCGUAUUUGAGCCAUUUUCGUAUUAAAUAAGAAAGCUCCUUAAAGCAUAUUAGGUGGGAAACCAGUUAAGAAAGUUGUGAUCUUUCUCUCUCAUGGACAGCAGUUGAAAGGCAAUCUCAACAGCCAUCUGAAACCUAUGUUCUCAACACAUGAUGCUGCAGUAGCAUGUCCUUAUUAAAAAAUGAGUGCUGCUGUUCCUAUUAGACCAUAAGCUUGAAUUGGAGGGUGCUUGAUUACAUUUAAUCUCUCAUAAAACCUCAUGCUAGAAUUACAACCUGCUGUGCGAAAGAUGCGGAACAUCAAGCGACUGAACUAUCUUGCUUUGACAUUCUCUUGUGCUUUAACCUUGAUCUCUGUCACAACGUUUUCUGAGAACCUAAGAAGCACAAACAUUCUUGUUUGAGACAGUGUAUUCUGUUACUCAACCGUAACACCACCACCAGUUGAAUAGUAAUUGGACCUCCCUGAUAUGAGCUCAUUAUUCGUUCAAUUUAUUCCUUCUUGU